AUUGAACGCUGGCGGAAUGCUUUACACAUGCAAGUCGAACGGCAGCACGGGAGCUUGCUCCUGGUGGCGAGUGGCGAACGGGUGAGUAACAUAUCGGAACGUACCCAGUCGUGGGGGAUAACUAUCCGAAAGGAUAGCUAAUACCGCAUACGUCCUGAGGGAGAAAGCGGGGGAUCGCAAGACCUCGCGCGAUUGGAUCGGCCGAUAUCGGAUUAGCUAGUUGGUGGGGUAAAGGCUCACCAAGGCGACGAUCCGUAGCGGGUCUGAGAGGACGACCCGCCACACUGAAACUGAGACACGUUCCAGACUCCUACGGGAGGCAGCAGUGGGAAAUUUUGGACAAUGGGGGCAACCCUGAUCCAGCCAUUCCGCGUGAGUGAAGAAGGCCUUCGAGUUGUAAAGCUCUUUCAGCAGGAACGAAACGGUCGGCUUUAAUAAAGUCGGCUAAUGACGGUACCUGCAGAAGAAGCACCGGCUAACUACGU
rnacentral:rRNA from 1 species